GACGAACGCUGGCGGCGUGCUUAACACAUGCAAGUCGAACGGAAAGGCCCUGCUUUUGUGGGGUGCUCGAGUGGCGAACGGGUGAGUAACACGUGAGUAACCUGCCCUUGACUUUGGGAUAACUUCAGGAAACUGGGGCUAAUACCGGAUAGGAGCUCCUGCUGCAUGGUGGGGGUUGGAAAGUUUCGGCGGUUGGGGAUGGACUCGCGGCUUAUCAGCUUGUUGGUGGGGUAGUGGCUUACCAAGGCUUUGACGGGUAGCCGGCCUGAGAGGGUGACCGGCCACAUGGGGACUGAGAUACGGACCAGACUCCUACGGGAGGCAGCAGGGGAGAAUAUGGCACAAUGGGCGGAAGCCUGAUGCAGCAACGCCGCGAGCGGGAUGACGGCCUUCGGGGUGUAAACCGCUUUCACCUGUGACGAAGCGUGAGUGACGGUAAUGGGUAAAGAAGCACCGGCUAACUACGUG
rnacentral:rRNA from 1 species